rnacentral:rRNA from 1 species
CGACUGGGGUGAAGUCGUAACAAGGUAGCCCUAGGGGAACCUGGGGCUGGAUCACCUCCUUUCUAAGGA